rnacentral:lncRNA from 1 species
UUAUUUAAAAAGUUUAUGGAAACUGCCUAAAAAGUGAUCAGAAAUUGAAUCUCAAAUUUUAAACAUUGAUGUAAUGUAGGUCAUAUAUUCUAAAACUCCAAUAAAAUUAAGUUAGAUGUUAGUUUAAACAGUGAGAAAAAAAACCCUUACAUGUAGAAAUUAUGAAAAAAACCCCGACACUUCUAAACAUCUUAUGGGCCAAAGUUAUUGUAACAAUAAUCAGAAAACACAUAAAACUGAAUAAAAUAUAAAUAUUACAUAUCAAAACUAACGAACACCUAAAUAAAACAUUAUUUAACUUUAAUUGAUUAUAUUCUAAAAAGGAAAGACUGAAAGUGAACGAGCCAAUAACCAAACUUAAGACUCAAGAACUUGAAAAAUUAACAUAAUACAGAAUACAAACAAAACUGUAUAUUAUCAUCAGAAAUUAUUUAUAUAUAAUAAAUCUGAAAUAGAAGAAAAAGCAAAAGAUAAUUUUUGAAGAGAUAAAACUGACAAAUCUUUAGUGAGACUAAUACGGGAAAAAAACACAUAAAUACACAUUGUUAAGAAUACAGGCUUGGUGUGGUUGCUCACACCUAUACUCCCAGCAUUUUGGGAAGCCAAGGCGGGAGGAUCACUUGAAGCAUGGAGUUCCAGACUAGCCUCUGAAACAUAGAGAGACCCUGUCUCUACAAUAAUAAUUAUAAAAAAUUAGCUAGGCAUGGUGGCACAUGCCUAUAGUCCCAGCUACUCAGGAGGCUUAUAUGAGCCCAGAGUUCAAGGCUGCAACUAGCCAUGAUUGUGGCAUUGCACUGCAGACUGCGUGACAGAGCAAGAGUCCAUCUCUACAAAAAAAUAAUAAUAAUAAUAACAUAAAUGCAGGAAGAAAGUGCAGAGACUAGAAACAUGAGUAUCAAAGUUGGACACAUAAAAAUAUGUAUACAUUUAAUUAUAUAAAUAUAAAAAUUACAAUAUAUAUCAUACAACACAUCUCUAUUUGCAUCUCUAUCUCUAUGUCCUUAUAUUUAUAGCUAAAAUAUAAUUACACAUACCUAUAGUUUAUUCUUAUUAUUUACAGUAUUUCUGUUUUAUAAGUCCCCACAGACACUGAAUUAGCCAAUAGUGAACUCAGACAAAAAUACAGUUAGAUUUGUGACCCUUUGUUCACAUUAUUUUGUUAAUCCAUCAACACGCACCUUUGUUUUAUAUGUCUCCAUUUAAAGACAACUUAUUUAAUGUAUUUUGUUGAUUCAUUAACAUUGAACUCAUAGCCAACAGCACUGCAACUCAUGCCUAGACACAGCUUAUCUAACACACAUAAUUUUACCUUAAGUCUCAUUACCACCUUUUGCACUUAGGAACAUUACAUAGCACUUUAAGCACUACAUUUGGGGGCCAUUUUAAACAGUGAAAUUUUCAACAAAAAGCACAAGAAUGUGAAAAACACAGCUCUAAAUAAAGCACAGAAAGGACAUUUGCUUGCAGUAAGUGAGCUGAAACAGAAAGGCAAAGUGUCACUGUGUUUGAUCUCACUUGGGAAUGUAUGCAUUGUGCAACUUGUAUUUUUGGCUCUCUGCAGAUAUCCAUGAAUGACCAUGAAAGUACAGCAAGUGAUUUUCAAGCUGCAAACAAAUUUUAGCAAGUAAGUGCAUUUGCCAAUAAGCAAUACAUGAAUAUGAGAAUCAAAAGCAUAUAUACCAUAAUAUGCCAUAAGUUUAUACACCAUAAAAUAUAUCUACAUAUUUAUAUCUAUAUCUAUAUCAAUCUAUAUGUAUAUCAUAAAAACAACAAUUAUCAACAAUGCAAUGAAUUUAAGAAUACAUUGGAAAUGGGAAUAGAAUAGAUGAAUUCAUAGAAUAGUCCUAUUGAUAAACAACUCUAAUAUAGUACAAAUUAUUCUACCGUAUGAAAAAAAGAAUACUAGUUCAAUCAUUUUCUGAAGCUAGAGUAACUUAAAUACAAAAAUGUGACAAGGAUAGUCUUAGAAUGUAGAACACACUUAUAAACAUAGAUUUUUGUGCAGUAUUAAAUAGAAAAUAGUUGGUCAAUACAAACAAAAAGGCCAAGUGUGGUGGCUUACACUUGUAAUCCCAAAAUGUUGAGAGGCCAAGACAGGAAGAUCACUUGAAGCCAGGAGUGGGAGACCAGCCGGGGCAACAUAGUGAGACCCCCAUCUCUAAUAUAUAUAUAUAUAAAAGCUGGGCAUGGUGGCACAUGCCUAUAGUCCCAGCUACUCUGGAGACUAAGAGAGGAAGAUCCCUUUAGCCCAGGAGUUCAUGGCUUCAGUGAGCUAUGAUCGUGUUACUGCACUCCACCGUGGCCCACAGAGUGAAACCUUGUCUCUAAAACAAAAUCCAAACACCAAAACCCAAAAUAAAGACAUUUAUUUAUUAAAUUUUAUGUAGCAUCAGAAUCUUCAGCUAAGCUAGGCAUGCUUCACAAUGUAACACCCUUUAAAGCAAGAAGAAUCUUGAAUCUACUUCUCAACUAUUUUGCAUAUAUCUUCUCCAAUUCUUUUCACAUUCCCCGUUAUGUCAGUUCCUAUUCACCUCUUUUUUAGUCAUCUCCAUUUAUUUUUAGCAGCUCAUAUUAUCACCUAGACAAAAGGUCAAAGACUUUAUCAGCCCCUGUUGUGUUCUGUUUGGGUUUUUGUUUGUAAUGUCCUGUCUAUUUUCCUUUUAAAAUGGCAAAAUGAUAAUUCUAUAUUAUAAGGCAUAAUAACCUUGAGAUUGCCCAAUUGUUGUUGAGUGGAUAAUUUAAAAAUAAUUGUAGAGUUUUCGUCAAGAAAGUGAAAAUAAACACAAGCCAGCAUCAGUUCCAUUUAAAGCAAUACUACAUAGAUAAGCCACUUCACCUUUUUAAUAUAGCAUUGACAUUGGCAACAAAUGUUAAGGAUGUCAUAUACACCAUGAAUUUGAAUAAAUUAAAUGCAGAAACUAGUUGACAAGUCUAUUUUUUCAUAAAAUUAAUGUUAAAAAUUGAGUUUAAGCUUGAGUGUCCUACUGUAUUAUUAUUAUUACAUAACAAAUGAGUUAGUUAUAUUGAAAAUGUAGGAAAAGCAAACUUUUCCCAACCCCCCUCGCAUCAAAGAUGGUGUCUCUCAACUGCAUUAGAAAAUGCUGAUUCAGGUAAUCCCACCCUAACCCCAGAUGCUGUCUAAUAGUGUAUUAGGAAACCCCUAGUAGCUUGGAAAGUAUUAACCUAGUAUUUCUGUUUAUAUUGCCUUGAUUAUUAGUGUAAUUAAACAUUUGAUUUCAUCUUUUGUAAUACAUAGGUGUAUGUCUCUUAAAAAUAUUUUACCAAUUGCUUACUUGAUUAUUAGUGUAAUUGAACAUUUGAUUUCAUCUUUUGUGAUACAUAGGUGUAUGUCUCUUAAAAAUAUUUUAGCAAUUGCUUAUUUUUUCUUGUAGAUUUUUCUUCUCUGAAUCUUUUUUAUUGAAAAUUUUAUUCCUGAGUGAAUCUCAUAAGUUGCAAACAUUGAAUGAAGUAGGAUUUUUAACUUUAUUUUGUUCACAUGUGUUGUCAAGUGUUUAAAUGCCAUCAAUAAAUUUGUAUAUAUUAAAUUCCUUAUACGAUUUGUUACCACAGUCCUUAUUAUAGCUAGUUUUUCAGUUUGUUCCAUUAUAUCACCAUUUAAUUGCUUUAUAAUUAAUAGCAUUUUUGAAAGAGUCUUCAUAAGUCUUCAGUGAUUUUCUUAAAUUAUUUUUAUUUUGCAGUUAAAUAAUUUUCCAAACAAAUGAACUAAUUUAAAGUGAUAAUUUUUACUGUUAUUACUUUAAUUUACAUAAUAAUUUGGCAAGAAAUGAAUUCCAGUAGAUAUAGCAAUGCAUUGUAUUCCCUCUGCUGUAGUGGAAAGCGCCAGUGUUACAACUAGAAAUAAAAAUCUCAGGUAUGGUAGUGUAGAAAAAUUGAAGGUCUGGUAGCUGUCUCAUAUGAAUCCAAGUAGUUCUGUUCAGUGCUGGAAAUAGCUUACGAUGUCAUGGUUCCAGGUUCUCUCUUGUUACUCUGUCAUGUUCAGCAAACCAUCCUUGCAGCUGUUUUUGCUUUCAUCAUCCCAUUCUCAUUGCAGGCAAAUGGAAGAAGAAAGAGGAGAGUGGUGGUGUGUGCUUUCCCUUUAAUGGCAGAACCCAACAGUCGUACACACCACUUCUACCCUCUUAAGAUGGGUCAGAAUCCAGGCCCAAUUCCAUGUAUACAUGGAAGAGAGGCUUAUUAAAGUAGCCUUCAGUUGCUGGACAGAGUUCCAUCCAAAACUACAGUUAAUAGGUAAGUCGAGAACUUACAUUAAGUGAUAAAUGGCAGUCUCUGCCAAGGAAAAUAUUCUUAUCCAUGCUCAUGGAUAAGAAGAAUCAAUAUCAUGAAAAUGGCCAUACUGCCAAAAGUAAUUUAUAGAUUCAAUGCUAUUCCCAUCAAGCUACCAUUGACUUUCUUCACAGAAUUAGAAAAAACUACUUUAAAUUUCAUAUGGAACCAAAAAAGAGCCUGCAUAGCCAAGACAAUCCUCAGCAAAAAGAACAAAGCUGGAGGCAGCAUGCUACCUGACUUCAAACUACACUACAAAGCUACAGUAACCAAAACAGCUUGGUGCUGGUACCAAAACAGAUACAUAGACCAAGGGAACAGAACAGAGGCCUAAGAAAUAACACCACACAUCUACAACCAUUGAAACUUUGACUAACCAGACAAAAACAAGCCAUGGGGAAAGGAUUCCCUAUUUAAUACAUGCUGAUGGAAAAACUAGCUAGCCGUCUGCAGAAAACUGAAACUGGACCUUAUACAAAAAUUAACUUACAUCUUAUACAAAAAUUAACUCAAGAUAGAUCAAAGAUUUAAGUGUAAGACCUAAAACCAAAAAACCCUAGAAGAAAACCUAGGCAAUACCAUUCAGGACAUAGGCAUUGCCAAAAACCUUAUGAUGAAAAUACCAAAAGGAAUGGCAACAAAAGCCAAAAUUGACAAAUGGGAUCUAAUUAAACUAAAGAGCUUCUGCACAGCAAAAGAAACUACCAUCAGAGUGAACAGGCAACCUACAGAAUGGGAGAAAAAUUUUGAAAUCUAUCUUUCUGACAAAGGGCUAAUAUCCAGAAUCUAUAAGGAACUUAAACAAAUUUACAAGAAAAAAACAAACAACUCCAUCAGAAAUUGGGCAAAGGAUAUGAACAGACACAUCUCAAAAGAAGACAUUUAUGCAGCCACCAAACACAUGAGAAAAAGCUCAUCAUCACUGGUCAUUAGAGAAAUGCAAAUCAAAACCACAAUGAGACACCAUCUCACAUCAGUUAGAAUGGCGAUCAUUAAAAAGUCAGGAAACAACAGAUUCUGGAGAGAAUGUGGAGAAAUAGAAAUGGUUUUACACUGUUGGUGGGAGUGUAAAUUAGUUCAACCAUUGUGGAAGACAGUGUGGUGAUUCCUCAAAAAUCUAGAACUAGAAAUAACAUUUGACCCUGAAAUCACAUUACUGGGUAUAUACCCAAAGAUUAUAAAUCAUUCUACUAUAAAGACACAUGCACACGUAUCUUUAUUGCAGCACUAUUCACAAUAGCAAAGAUUUAGAACCAACCCAAGUGCCCAUCAAUGAUAGACUGGACUAAGAAAAUGUGGCAUAUGUACACCAUGGGAUACUAUGCAGCCAUAAAAAGAAUGAGUUUAUGUCCUUUGCAGGGACAUGGAUGAAGCUGGAAACCAUCAUUCUCAGCAAACUAACACAGGAACAGAAAACCAAACACCGCAUGUUGUCACUCAUAAGUGGGAGUUGAACAAUGAGAAUAUAUGGGCACAGGGAGGGGAACAUCACACACUGGGGCCUGUCUGGGGGUUGGGGGCAAUGGAAAGGAUAGCAUUAGGUGAAAUACGUAAUGUAGAUGGUGGGUUGAUGGGUGCAGAAAACCACCAUGGCACAUGUACACCUAUGUAACAAAUCUGCAUGUUCUGCACAUGUAUCUUAGAACUUAAGCAUAACAAAAAAAUAUAUUUCUGGGCAGAGGAAAAAUACUUUGAAAUUUACAUUUAAUCCAGUAAAAUUUCAGUGCAUUAAAUUAAAGCUUGUAAUAUAAUAAUGAUAAUAACAGACAGCAUUUAAAGAGCACCUCUUGUGGAUAAUCAAGUUAUUGAGAAAUUAUGUGUGUUAUCUCUGGGAUAAAGAUUGCUGCAUCCUUAUAUUCUUGUGUAUAAACAGACCCUGUAUAUGUAAAAAAAGGAAAGAGAAAAGUAUUUUUAAAUGCACUAAUUUGUAAUUACCACAUAAACUAUUACUCAUGGAAGAUUAGUUAUUUGUUGUCAGUACUUUUUUUUUCCCUUUCAAAAAUGUAUUCAGAUUUUACUAUGGCCUAAUAUGUAAUAAAUGUAUAUUUCCUGUGUGUCCCAUUGGGGCUUUCAAAGAAAACAUAUCUCUUUUAGAAAACAUUUUUCACAUAGAGAUAUUAUGCAUCAUAUUCAAAACCUUUGUAGAUAUCUUUCUUGAAUUAUUUUAUGAGUCAAAGUUUAUAUUUCAGAAAUAUUUCUUUAUUUUUUCCAGUAAAGGAGAAAUCAUUAAUAAAGAGGCAAAUUUAUUAACACUAUUACCUGAAUUUUUUAGAAUGAUAACAAAUAAAUUUAGUAAAUAUUGCUGAUUUAUUAGCAGAUAAAGUCAUUCUGCUCCAAGAGCAUGACAGCUAAACUUCCACUAGCUCAUUUAUACUCUGUGGAAAUAUGAUUUACUGCCAUAUGAGAGAAAUUAAAUUCUAUUAUUUUAAUUCUGUAUUUUGUAUCAUAAAAGAGAAACCAGAUAUGGAAUACAGAAUAUGCAUAUAUGGAAUAAAACAAUGGGGAAUAAAUAAGAUUUAGUUCAAGAAAUAAAGAGAUCAUGUAUUCAAACACACCAGUGAGUUCUUUAAAAAGGAAAUCUUUUAUGUUCUAAUUAAAGUAGCAAACUUCACAACUUGAGUUUUUCAGCUCAUUUGUUUCCUGACUUCUUUAUUCCAAGUUAAAUACUCCUAAGGUGGGUCAUAUAAUUCAGUGACCUUUAAAGUAAAAUUGAAAUAUUUAAUUUUACUACUUUUCUUUAUCUCUUUUUCUCUCACCACAUGCAGCUUAUAAAUGCCAAUAGAAUUAAUUGCCUAAUUAUAAGGAAUAAAAACAUUGCCUUUUGAAGGAUUUCAAAUUUAUGUAUCCUGCUGUGGAGAUUUUGCUUGACUACCUGACCUAUACAGUCUGUGCUUCUUAAGGAAAGAAAAUAAGUGGACUACUUUCGAACACAUUUUGAACUUGGUAAUGAAUGCUACAAUACUGCUCUGCUCUAUAAUCUUAGGUUAUUUUAUAUUUUAAGGGCUUCACCUGGAGCCAUUUUACUGUUAACCAUAACUAUUAUAUAUACUCUUUAAUAAGCUCCAUUAUAUUUUUUUUUACUUUUUUCCUUAUACAAUUUAGUAAUAUGGCAGAAAAGCAGGUAAUAAGGAAAAUACUAAUCAUCAUUAGUUUACAACACAUUGACACACAUUUUCCAGCAAGAAAAUUCGAUUAACAGGUAGCACGAAAAAAAGCUGCCUACCUGGAUAACUCAUAUAACACUUUACACUAUAUCUCUCAGAAAAAAAUUACCAUAUUCAAUAUGCUUCAUAUUUAUUUUCUUAAUAACCACAUUUUUAAUAACCUCAUUUUCUCUGGGAAUUUUGGGUUUCAGGUACAUAUAGCAUCUUCAUGCCAAUUUUAUAAGGUCAUACCUUAAUCACUAGUUGCAAAAGUAGGGAUAUAAAGGCAAGAAUUCUAGAUUAGAAAGUGAUAUAUGUGAUUUUACAGGAAGACAGAAGAAAGGGAGAAUUUGUGAAUACUAUGUGAAAGAAGAAUAAACCCAUGAGCCAAACUUAAUUUGGAUAUUAAAGCUGAUUAUAUCACACAUACACCAAGAGAGUAUGAAAAGAUUUAUUUCUCACAUAAUGAGACUUUCUGGACAGAUCAUGGCAAGCUCAAAAACAGUUCUGAAAAUGGCCUAAGAUAAUAUGGAGGGAUGAGUAGCUUGCCUGUUAUUUUACUUGGAGUUGGGAGUUGUGCAUCUGGGAUGAAGUUUACAUGGUUUGAACUUUCCACUGGCACUGAGGUAAAGAUCUAAGAUAUAUAACUGGCUUGCCAAGAUGUAGAACAAAACAGAAGGGCGGGUGGUAAAGCAUAAAAACUAUUAACAAUAAGGCAAUAAAAAUCAAUCCAGACUCUUUAUUAUAACUCACUCCAAUGUUUGACUGAGGAGUAAAAUGUGCUAUGAUUUAUUUAAUUGCAUUUGAAGUUGUUAUAGUAAGCCAUUAUGGUUACCUAUGAGGCUCACAGCAUGAGAACGGUAAGGAAAUAAAACUUCCAUUGAAUACCUUCGUCAGCAGAUGUGAUGGUUAAUUUUAUUUGUCAAUUUAAUUGGUUGAUGGGAUGUUCCAGUGUUUGCUUAAACACUAUUCUGGGUGUUUCCAUGAGGGUAUUUGGGAUGCAAUUAACAUUUAUAUCAGUAGACUGAGUAGAGCAGAUUUUCUGCCGUAUUGUAGUUGGAACUUACCUAAUCAGUUGGAAAUCUAAAUAAAACAAAAAGUCUGAAUCACCCUAAAGUAAGAGAGAAUCUUGCUACCUGACACUUUUUGAACUGUGACAUUGGCUUCUUUUCCUGACUUCAGACUCAAACUGAAAGAUCAGCUUUUUCUGAUUUUUAAGCCUGCCAGCCUUUGGACUGGAACUACUUCAUUUGUUCUCCUGAGUCUCCAGUUUUGUGACUUGCCCUGUAAACCUUGGGACCUGCUAGCCUCCAUGAACUUCCAUGAUAUUACUAAUUUCCUUAAUAAAUCUCAUUCAUUCUCUCUCUCUCUCUCUCUCCCUCUCUUAGUUCUGUUUUUUUUGUUGUUUUGAUUUGUUUUGUUUUGUUUUUUCCUGGAAAACUCUAACUAGUACAUGAGCCCAGCAUUGUGUAUUUUGUGAAGUAAAAUGUGUUCCUUGCUCACAAUUGCUCACAAUCAAUUGCUCACUAUUAUUAAUGUGUAGAACCGUGAAGGGGUAAGGAAUAAUUUGGUAAAGAUUUGUAUUGUGGCAUCAUUAUGUAAAAAGACUUGCAACCCUGGUUAUAUAGUGGGUACUUGUAAUUCACAAAAUUUCAGAGUUAUUUUUUCCAAACAGGAGGAUGUUGGACAUGAAAAUUUUGUUGCUAGCAUUGGCCUGCCCAAAUGGCCAGACCAUUGUCCACAGAUAAAUAUUCCGCAAAAUUAUGCAGAUAUGGCUGAUUCUUGGACAGAGCAUUUAUUGUUAAGAUUACUGCAUGAUGUUUGGCCAGUUGCACUGAGCCUUGGGUCUCAUUCUUGAUCAGGGACAUUCUGUUGAAGCAACAGAAAGUGGCUGUUAUGCAGUGGGCUCUAUUAUGUGUAAUGGCAGUGCUUCCAUCCAUCAUGGUAUAUUAAUGGACUCACAGUUCCACAUGGCUGGGGAGGUCUCACAAUCACGGUGGAAAUCAAAGGAGGAGCAAAGGCACGUCUUACAUGGUGGCAGGCAAGAGAGAGUGUGCAGGGGAGCUGCACUUUAUAAAAUGAUCAGAUCUAGUGAGACUUAUUCACUAUCACAAGAAUACCAUGGGAAAAACCCACCUCCAUGAUUCAAUUAUCUCCCACCAGUACCCCCAUGAAACGUGGGGAUUAUGGGAACUACAAUUCAAGAAAAGAAGUGGAUGGGGACACAGCCUAACCAUAUCACAUGGGUAGUCUGGAACCUCUAAAAGACAUAAGAAGAGGUUGCCAAAGCUUCUACAGUGAACAAUCUUUGGGGGGCACUAACUUAAGUCUCUGUUGUAUUGCAAUACUGAUAGAUUCUAGAGUCUUUUGUUGUAGGGUGACCCAUUCAGGGUAAGUCAAUUUGUGAGCAACAACAUAAAUGAGCUUAAAUAAAUGUAAAUAAGGAAUAUGUUUCUUUCAGAAUCCAAAAGGUCGAAAAGAUGUUGAAUUUGUUUUAACAUUGUGGGUGAUGACAGAAUGAACAACUGUUUCUUUAUAAUGUCAGGAACGGAGCACCCUCUAGUUAAAUGAUAGUGAGAAAUUUUACUGAGGUAGUGAGGCCUUUUGCUUUGUGUGAGUAAGUAGUCCACUAAUUUUGAUGAGCUCUGUUGUGACUGUUUGGUUGUCCUGAAUGAAUGUGUAAAUAGACUCUCCUAGGAGGAUGACAUCAAUAUAAUGUCAUACAUAUGUUCCUAGAAAAAUUUUAAUGUGAUUAAGGUCUUACCUACAAAGGCUGUGUGCAACAGUAAAUCUGUUGCGAUGCCCCUGGGUUGCUGCAUAAGGAUGUAUUGUCUUUUUGAAGGUGAAGAAAAACUGCAGCUAAGAAGCUGUUGAAAUAGGCAAUGAAAGGAAUUUACUAGCUAAAUCUGUGACUGCAAAGUACUUACCCGUUUCUGAUUGGAUUGAAUGGAGUCAGUAAUUUAAGUAAUAUCGGGUAUAGAAGACUUAAUGGGUGAGAUUAUGACAUUAAGGUUGCAAUAAUCCAUCAUUAAGUGUUAUUCAUUAUUUCCAGUUUUAAGAAUAGACCAAAUACAGUUAUUAAAUAAAGAGAAACUGUGGGGGAUAAUUACCUCUUCUCCAAAUAGUUCUUGUAUAAUGUGUUUUGAUCUUCGAAGGCUCUGUUUAACUUUGUAUGUGGCCACAUUAAGUAUUUUGACCAGAGGGGAAAACCCAUGAGGUCCAAUUCUGUGAAGCUGAUUGUAAGUGCCAAACAUUUGAUUUUAUUUUAAUGUAUUAUUUAUGGGGUCACAUCAUCCAUGCACACUAUGGAAUAUUUUAGUGCAAAGCAGGAGCUUAUAAGUAGGUCUGUCUCAUUCUCUUGAUAUUGGUUGUUGGCAAAUGCAGAUCCAAAUUCAGGCCUGCAUGUGCGAACCCUCACUCUGAUUCCUCUCCCUAACUAUAAGAAAAGUCAAGCCGCUGGCUGCACCCCCAUCCCAACCUGCGCUAUCUCAAACUGUUUUCUUCCUGCUUAAGAACUAGCCAUGUUCAUCCCACAAAGCCUCAUUAUGCGAGUAAUAAACUGCUUCAUACCCUCUUGAUGUCUGUGUAUGGUAUUAUCAGCUUCGACAACUUGACUAAAUGUUUGGUUGGGUGUACAUUCUUAUUGCACAGAUCAACCACAAAAAGAAACCAUUUUCGUCUGAUGUAGUCAUGAAAAUUUUUACAGAAUAAUUUAAAUUUGAAGGAGACUGACAGGUAAAAGGAUUUGCAUAAGCUCAAAUGAGAAAUGGGAAAAUUCAGUGCAGGUUAUGUGGACCAUCAUAUAUACUGGUUUGUCAAGUUGAAAAAUAUUUAAUGUGCACUAGAUUCUGGUACAUUAAUUGAUGUUGGAGUAUAUUUUUACUUAUUCAUUGUUUUCUCAUGUAUUUCUUUUCUUUGUGUUUCUCUCCUUUCCCAUAGACAACAAAUAGGGUUAUUCUAUGUUCAUUACUUCAAGGAUGAUCACAGAAAUAUUUUUUCCCCUGGAGCUCUAAGAGUAGAUAUCCUUAAGGAAAUAAACAAGUUUAAACAAAUGGUUUGCUAACAUAUGGUUUGAUUAGGUUUGGCCUUCCCUUCCCCAAAUAAAAAGAAAAGAAACAUAAUAUAUAGAUACAGAUAUAGAAGUAUAGAUAUUUCUAGGGCAGGAGAAGAGAACAGAAGGAAUGACAAGUUUAAAUUUAUCGAAUCAUAUACGGAGGAAAAAUAUAUGCUGCUUCUAGUCUUGGCUUGAGUGAAAUGGUAGUACUCAAAAGAAAUUUGCAAAAUUGGAGAGAAGAAGAACCCUGAACAGUUCAGGAAGUCUAAUAAAGAAAGGCUGUAUAUUCGAUCGAAGCAGACACAUAUUUAAACAAACUUCAGUGACUCUCAUGCUUUAGUGAGACAUUGGACCUGCAGUUCACACACUAAAAUGAGGCACGGAGAUUGCCACUGGACCAGAAGGGUACAUCUUCUUGGGAAUCAGGGUUAUCUUAGCAGCAAUAUACAUAGACUAAUAACUGAGACUCAAGAAGAAAAAUCGAAAUAUCUUUGUUGAAAAAUGCAAUCAGAUAUCUGAGACUGUGGGCUUGUCCACAUUGAUGCCUUGGCAGUAAAUACGCCACCUAGAACUAAUUCCAACUCAAGGACAGAUGCUGGCAACAUGGAAUUGCAAACCUACUCCGAGUGUUCUGACACUCACAUAGAAUAAAAACUUGAGUUAGGAAAAAAUAGAGAAAAUUAUAUUGUUUCACUUUUUAAAAAUUACUAUGUCAAUUAAAAUUUAUAUACUAUAUUUAGAUGAAAUAAGGUUGACAGUAAUGUGGAACCCUAGCUAUGAAGGACUCAUAUCAGAUUACAGCAAUUAGUCUUUAUUUUCUACAGAAGAUUUUGAGUUUGGGAUUUUGUUAUAAAAUCAGUCCUUAAGGAAAAUUAAUCUAGUUUUUUGCACUUUGCAAUAAGAGGACAUUUAGAAAAUAUAAAUUACAGUUAAUUUCUCUAAUGCAGUUAUGAGAUAAAAAUUGCCCCAGAUUAUGUUGUUGGAUACACAUGAUAGACAGGAACAUAAAAACAAAAUGACAAAAUAUUAAAACUUGAUUAUAAAUUUACUAUAAAGGCCAAUAAGAAGAAAGGAAGUACUUGAAGUUGUAGUUCUGGUGACUGGAAAGACAGAACCAAUGGAUUACAGAAUCAAAUCAAGAGGUUUGAUUGAGAAAACAAGACAAUGCCAAUUUGGAUUAUACAAGUUUCUAUGUUAUCUAGAAGGCAAACUGAAAAGUAGUUGAAAAUAUACAAAUAGAAUGCACAAGUUAUCUUGAGAUGGAUUUAGGCUUUUCUAAUAGAGAUUAAGAAAGGCCCAAUAAGCAGUGCAUCAAAAUGCUUCAAACAUAAAAAGAUGCCAAUUUGGAAAGGUUUUACCUUCUCAUUUGUAGGCAGCAUAUUAAUGGCAAAUAAAUAGAAAGUAAGGGGGAGAAAAAUGGAAGCAAGAUGCUUGGAAGGAAAAGGGAUUAAAGUAUAUGAACAGAAUGCUCUUUGAAAACCAAGCAGG